UAGAUGCGAAUAAGGGAGGCGCUUGUCUUGUCUGUGUCCUCGUUGUAGUUGAGUUCUACAAAUGUGCCUCCACCAAUGCCCUUUGCUAAUCUCCCAGGGUUCAUGCAAAUAAAACGCUUAGGUUCUUCGCUACUUUCAUCGAGGGAAAGCACCUUCACAAAUGGAGCAAGGUCAGAAGGAAGCAGGAGAACGUCAGGAGCUGAUGCGAUCUCCAGUGCUCCGUUAGCGAGUGAAAAGUCCAAGGGUACACCAGCAGGAGGAGGAUAUAAAGGAUAUAUGUAAUUACCUUUGUUGCUUCAAUAUGUGUGUGCAAAUUCUACCAAUUCUGUCACCAUGCUUUUCACCAGGUGGCUUGCGAGAAAUUUCUUCACCACUCAGAUGUUUCAGGAUAUCCAUUGUGCAGCAGCCAAAGUGUAUCUGGAACACAAAAAACAGAUAUUAUCACAAAGAUCGUAUUACUACCUGAUGCGUGAUGUCUUCUGGUAAAUUCAAGUCAAAUGCAGGCUGGGGAAAAACAAAGUCAUGGUGGGCAUCACGUACGGAUGGAAUAAGAAUCACACGAACAUUGUGCCCCAAAUACUGGGUGAAGUCUUGAAGCUUUCUCAGAAUUUCGAAAAGAAAUAUGUCCUGAAAGCUCUUAUCAACAGCUCCCUUUUUUAUUUCAGGAUGAUCAGAAUCAAUAAAGGAUUCAAAUGCCUCACCAAUAUAAGAAGUUGAGGCUGCUUACGACUGGCAUAAGAUAUCAAUUCUUGCAAAGGUUCAAACAACAGAUUAUCACUCGUUGUAUAGGGACCUGCUGCAAUGACCUAUAAGACAUAUGAUACCUUCAAACAUGAGAACAAACUUUGGUUGCCUUCACUGUCCACAGCUUGUUUCUUAGCACGAGGCAGUUGAGCAUCAACAAAGUUUGGUAUGGAAUCAUUCAACUUUGACACAACAAAACAAUGCCCGCUAGGAUUGUGGCCUUGAAUGCCAACGACCUAUACCUGCCCAGGAAACAAGGAAAACCGGUCUACGUCCUUCAAGUCUAAGCGUACAUGCUGUCCCCUGGAAAUCAACAUUUACCUGCCUUGUAGCAAGAUAGAUUUUUCAUUUAGAUGACCUUCCCCAUCACAAAUUACCAUGCCAACUGAAAACAUACUCUCCUCUGAAGCAAGGGUAGCAUCUGCAGGUUCUCCACAAAGCCCAGAUGCAGAAAACAAGCUUCCAGACCUCCUUAUCCUAUCUUCCAAAUAAUUAAAUCUAUCUUCUAUUCUGUCAUACAUGAACCUACAACCUGGUUCAGGCUGUGAGCGUUGAACUUGCAAGGUACACCUUUUACUAGGUUGAACUCUUCGAAUUACUUCAUCUUCUGUGGAUUCAAUCUCGUCUUUACUUGGCACACUAGCCACGUUAUCAGAAUUAAGAACAUACUGUUGAGUAAAUUUAUUUACUCGUUGAGAGAACGGGGUAAUGCGGUCGCCAUUUGUUUUGGCCAAUCUGCUGGAUGAUGGCCUAUCAGUGGUCAGUGGGGUAAGCUCAGAGUUACACGACUCUCCAUUGGGCUUUUCCUGUUUAGUGCUUGGUGUGUCAAGGAAUCCCUCUUCAUCUGUGUGUGUACUGCUCAAGAGCCUGCAAAAAUUACUUAAUAAAUGUGAAGGCUUGUUUCUUCUUUUAUAAUCCUGUCUUUUACUUCAUUUUGCAGGUGUGACAGAAAACCAUCCAGAUAUGAGCUUUCAAGCUUUAACCCAUUCAAUUGCCUG
rnacentral:sRNA from 1 species